GCGCCGCUGCCGGCUGCUCCUAGGACACAGUCAAGGCCGACUGCAAAACUCAGGAGUUGGAGUAAUCUGACUUUGGGGUCCCCUCUUCUCUCCUGCAGGAGCUACUCUAGACCAGGGUUUCUCAACCUCGGCACUACCAACCUUCGGGCCUGGACGAUUCUUUGAGACAGUGUCACAUGUCCCCAGGAGGAGGUCGGGGGAGGAGACAGAAUCCCCUGGUUGCGAACCGCUGCUUGAGACCAAAAUGCUCAGCUAAGUAGGUAUAUAACUGAGAAGUGGAAUUGUGGGAUCAUAUUGUAAUUCUACAUUUAAUUUUUUGACGAACCACCAUAGUGAUUUCCGCUAUGGCUACACAGUUUAUACUCCCAUAAACAGUGCACAAGGGGGGCCUUCCCUGGUGGCGCAGUGGAUGAGACUCCGCACUCCCAAUGCAGGGGGCCCGGGUUCGAUCCCUGCAGGGAACUAGAUCCCACAUGCAUGCUGCAACUAAGAGUUUGCAUGUCACAACUAAGGAGCCCAUGUGCCGCAACUAAGGAGCUGGUGAGCUGCAUCUAAGGAGCCCACGAGCCGCAGUUAAGGAGCCCACCUGCUGCAACUAAGGAGCCCAUGUGCUGCAACUAAGGAGCCAGUGAGCAUCAACUAAGGAUCCCUGGAGCCACAACUAAGGAGCCCACCUGCUGCAACUAAGGAGCCCACGUGCUGCAACUAAGGAGCCGGUGAGCCGCAACUAAGGAGCCCUGGAGCUGCAACUAGGGAGCCCGCCUGCCACAACUAAGACCCGGCACAACCAAAUGAAUAAAAAUAAAUAAAUAAAUAUUUUUUAAAAAACAAAAACAGUGCACAAGGGUUCCAAUUUCUCUAUAUCCUUGCCCACAUGUGUUAUUUUGCAUUU